CUCCCUCCCUCCUCCUCCUUCUUUCUUUCUUUCUUUCUUUCUUUCUUUCUUUCUUUCUUUCUUUCUCAGCACAGUCCAAUUCAUUCUCAUGUUUGAUUUGUGAUGCUUUAUGGAAGAGGACAUACAGGCCCUAAGAAGUACAAUGUGCUACACAGAUCACCACAGAGACCCACAAUGAGGCCUGGGCUCCUGAGGUUUUUAGUUCCCUAGGCCCUGCCUUGCUGGACAGGAAAGUGGCCAGUUCAAAGCUUUACAGAAAAUGGUGAGUUUUCCCUAACCCCUUAGGGCUGCCUUGUCUGGAAGCCCAGCAGCCUCUGCCUUUUUCUCGCAGACAGGGCAGCCUGCUCUUGGUGUCCCUAGUGGCUAAGCUCUCUCCUUUGCCCUGCCUCCUCCAUGGCUUACUGAGGGCUGGGGCAGAGAUGUUCAGUGAGGGGAAGGGAGGAGGGCUGACAGAGAGAUAGAUGGACUGACUGUUGGAAGGAAACAUGCAGGUUGUUCGGUGGGAGGGGGGCCCAUUUUGGCUUCCCCAGUCUAGUUAUCUCAUUUAUGGAGAUGGGGGAGGGGAGGCUCUGUACUUCCUGAGCUGCUAAAUGCUGUCACAAAAACAUUUAUUAAUAUGCAAAUUCUAAGUGGCAAUCUGGACCCAGUCGGGUUGUGCUAAUUUGCACAUUAAUAUCUGUCUUCAGGCUGGCCUCAGCCCUGGAGAGGGAAGCUUUAGGGCUUGGGAAGGGGACUUAGGGAGGGAGGCUGCAGGUGGGGCACAAUGGGGAGGGGCCACAGGCGUCUGCAGAUGAGGGGGCAGGGACCCAGUCAGUCUGUGGUGGGGGGAACCAGAGGCAGCUUGCUUUGCAGGGUCAGUCGGUGUCAAGGCUUAGGGCACUGGCCUCUGGGUUCACAGUAACAGCAACCUGAGUCUGUUGGUGCAGCUGCUCUCAGGGAGGUGUACUACUAGGAAGCAAAGCAAGUGUGGUUAGCGGGAGAAAUACAUGCAGGACAAUAUGGGCCACUUGGACUGGGCAGUGUCUGCUGUCCUGCCCCUCGGGGAGGGCACCUUUGGGACAGAAAGGGGUAAGGAGCAUCUUUUGAGCUGCUUGCUCCUUGCUUUCUUUCAGGGAGGGUUCACUGGUCCCCCGUAAGCUUGCUGACAAGUACAGGGAUGCGUAUCUCAGGAUCUCAGUUUGCUAUGCUGGCUCCAUCUCAAACCUUCUCUCCUGUAUCUGUUAAUAUACCCACCCAGUCCACAUUGUUAGGACAAUAUGAUCUCAAGCCUGGGCUGUGGGCUGUGGUGGUGCUAGUGGCAAGGGGCCGCCAGGGGAAACGGAGUCGCUGUUGUGUGGUAGCCCUGCCCGCCCCCUACCCCUCAGCCCCCAGCUGGUCCUCAUGUGUCCUACAUGUGGCUUUUCAGCAGUGGGGUCAAAGUGUCACCCUCUUCCCAUCUCUUCAACCCAUAGUGCCCUCUGCUGUCUGGUAUUAGUUUAGUGGGCUGCAUCCUUCAAAUUCUGCUCCUUGUGGGGAGCCAUCUCUGGCAUCCCCAUCCCAGCCCCGUUUCUAUGACAAUCUGUCACACAUCAGUUUUGUUUCUAUAAUUGCUUCAUAUGUGAAUCUUAUUUUCACAGCUAUACGGGGAGUCUUCUCCACAGUACCUGGCAGGGACCAUAUGUUUAGUCUGUUUUCAAUAGAUACCUAUCAGAAAUAGUUUUCCAAAGCCUUUCCACCCAUUAGCAUAUUUAAUCUUGGCACAAACCCAAGGAGUGACCAGCAUAUUAUUUUCAGGUACUAUGUUUAUAGUGUUAAAAUGUGUCAAGUACUACUACUUCAGAAGUUAGGUUUAGAUUUAGGUGGUCAUGUAAUCACAAUAAACUAAACUUGCAAUUCUAAAUAUGGCCACUAGGUGGUAAUAUGUGCUUGGUUGUGCAUAACUCUUUUUUUCUUUUUCUUCUUUUCUUUCUGGGACCAUAAAUCAAUGUAUUUACCUUUCUCACUUUUCUACUCAUUUGAGUUAGCUGAUUUUAUGUUCCAGGCACAUCUUCUCCUUCCAGUUUGGCCCAUACAAAGUGGUUCUGAUCACAAAAUGGGACGGACAAAUGUACAAAAACAUCCUGUGUGAUGGAUGUUGAAAUCAAGUUUUCUGGAAGCUCAGAGGGAGGGGUGAUUGACUCAAAGGAGGGGGAGAAGCUGAGUAUGGGAAAAUAAGAGUUUAUAGGAAGUGUGUGUGCCCAUGUUGGGGGAUGGCUCCUCCACAGGCUGAAAAAAGAAGCCCAAAUAUACAAAGGAGCAGAGGCUCCAGGUGGGAGGGAGAAGGGACACGGGGCUAAGGAUGAGUUUCCACAGAAGAUUAGGUUCUGGGGACAGCAAGCUUUAACAAGCUUUAAUACCUUGCCCUGGACUUUAGGGGCGGGCCUGAGGCAACGCUUUAGGGUGAGCAGUGGCUCCCGGGAGACCAGAUGCACUUGGUGUGUGUGGGAUGAGGGGGUAGAGGAAAAAAAAAAUGACAGCACUGGCCCACAGCAGAAGAAGUCCAGUUCCCUCCUUGCAGGCUUAAAAGUAGACCAUGAUGGGGAUAUAUAUGCCUGCUCCCAAAGCAACCACCAGGUAAGGGUUGAGUGGGUGGCCUGAUGCAAUGACGUCUGAGCCUCCGCGCUAGGAACAGUGUAGAUGAUGACACCAUUAAAGGAGAGGGGGAACACAUGCUUCCCCACUAAUUGUCCCUAGAAAAAGUCAAAAUAGAGCUUUUGAUUGAAUUAAAUUAACUCGAACAUGGUGCCAUUAAAGGCGAGAUUGGAAAGCCUGAUAAAACAAGGCCGUAAAGAAGACGCACCCAGGUACGAUUCAGCGCCUGUCUCCAUAAUCUUUAACUGUUAUGGUCCUAAAUAGUUUCUUGUUUCCUAAAUCGUUUCCCCUGUAGUGUUUGAACAGAGCAUCCCUUGCCUAAACACUCACCUCACUUUGCUCACGUACCUCGGGGUGUGUGCAGAGCCUGAGCCUGUGGAUUCUCUUUGCAUUGAAACUGCUUUAUUGCCUUCUAUAGGAUAAGUUUGUACUCUCAGUGACCUGAAGAAGAAGCCACCAGCAGGAAAAGAAUGCCUCAUUGGAUCUCUUUUCCAGUCCUGGGGCUUUCUGGGGUCUAGUCUGAGUGGUGGUUUCAGGGUGAUGUGUCCCCCAGGGCUGAGCCCAGGGCUUUCGCGCUCCUGGGUCCUGCUGGUCUCAGCUGGGAGCAUGCACUUUGAUCCUCACUUGAGGUGCAGAUUCUGAUAGCUUUGGACGUUGCUUUGCUUGGUGCCCAACUCUUCAGCAGAAAUCUGGGAGGCUGCCCUGUUCCCAGCCCCUUUCUCCUCAUUUUCAUUUGGCCCAGCAUGGUUUUUCCACCACAGUGUGAGUUUCAUAGCGAAGCUGAGUGUAAGCCUCUGGGACAGGCCUUACUCCUCCCUUCACAGGGAGAAGGGAGCUUGAGAAUCCUGUCCAUGGCCCUUGCAUUGGCAUGACAAACCCCUUCUUCUUCUAGGUGCCUUCAGGAAGUUUAUCAGGAACCAUGGGCUUCUAGCUACUGAACCCAAGACUGAGGCAGGUCCCUGGUAAGCUAUGCCCCCUCAGAGGCCUGGACUCAGCUUCUCUUUCUCUUUGGGCAAACAGAGACUCUGGACUCAAGGACUCUGGACCUUGGCUGUUUUUGACAGGCUGGUGGAAGAGUUUUCCAAGGCAUGGGUUCUUUCCUAUCUUGGGCAUCCAGACACUUUUCUGCAGCCAUCUGAGUAAGUCAUCUCUUUCCUACCUGAACUUAUUCCUUCUAGCUCCAGCUCCAGUAGAAUCUGAAGCUGACCCUGGUACCUCAAGACUCAUACCCAAGGACCGGUAAAGGAGUCACAGAAAAGGAAAUAUUAUCUCAUUAAAACCGAGAACAAAGACCCACCUUUGAGGUAGCCCGGAUUCUUGGGGAAACCCACUUUCUCUAUGGUGUCAACCCAGACCUCCCUCCAUUCAUACCAUCAGACAAUGCUCUCCAGGUGCCUUCCCUGUCAUUGUCCUAGCUUUGAGUAACCCCCUGACUGUGGUUAAUAGUGCAGUGCGCUUUAGCUAGGUCAUUUUUGGAAGCAGGCUUUAUUGAGGGGAGAGAAAGACGGGGAGCCCUCUGAGGUACUUCUUGGGGGCUUCUUUAAAGGGGGAAGGGAGAGUGUAUGGGGUCCACACUAACAUAAUACAUUAAUCAUGCUUGACCACAGGAUAGCGAACGAGCUGUACAAAGAGACGUGGAAUAGGAAGGAACAGCGUCCCAUUUUCUCAGACAGGCCCCUGAUGUCUCCUGCUUCUCAUUCUGCUUCUUCCCUCUUCUCCUUCCUCUUCCUCCUCUGUCUUCUUCACUUCUUCCCACCCGGUUCCCUUUCCUUACUCCCUCCUGAGUAUCAGAGGUGGACUGGCCUGUAUUUAACCCUGGGGUUAAAUACUGCUCCAGGUUCACUUUCCUGUUGGGGGCGGCUCUCUCUGUUCCUGAGGAGCCAAGCCUUCAGCAGCAAAGCCCUUUUAGGUCAGCCUCUGUAACUCAUUAGCAUAAUGGGUCGUACAUGGAGCAGUUAUCCCAAUAAGUGCUAGUGGGAGGGAGGCACAGUACUUCGAAGUGUUUCUUCAGGGUACAACAAGGACACUUCUAAUCACAAGCACACCCCCACCCUACCCUUGUCACCUUCCUUGUCACCCAACCCUUUGCUUCUGCCUGGAGCUGUUCAGUUCUUGUCACCUUGGAUGUAUCCUUUUGUCCAGGAGGCCUUGCCUGGCACGCUGUAGGUACUCUUGGGCCAUUUUGCCAGCUCAUCAUUCUCCAGGUUUUUCCUGGGUCCUUCUAUGAUCCAGACACUGUGGCUGCCUUCUGAUAGACAGUAUGGGGACAUCUGGGCUCUCAGGAUCCUUCAUCCAGAACCCCCAGGACAUAAGGCCACCUCACUGAUACUUCCUGAUGGCCGGUUCAAAGUGAGAAGAAACACUAAGUUUGAGAGCGAUCGAUAAGGCCGACAUCUGAAUGCACACCGGAGAUGUGAGACAGAUGCCAAAUGAGGCUCAGACCGACUCUGUCAUGUCCAGAUAUAACCAGACAGGGAGCUGGGUGUGGCACAGAGGGAGGGCGUGAGCAAUUUUAAAUUUCCAGCGUUGAUGUCUCUGGUCAGUCAGCCCAGUCCUCUUCUGGUCUGAACCCAUGUCCACAGUGUGGCUGUCUAGCUGCUGAGCACGACAGAAGACCAGAAUGCUAGGCUCCUAAAAUUUAUGGCUAGACUUUAUGACAAUGGAAAUAUUUUUUUAAUUGAGGCUUGCACCACCAUUACACUGCUAAUUUAAUUAUUCCCUAUAUUUCAUCCAUCACCAUCUGAUCCACGGGAAGCAAAUAGCUUGUCUUUCUGACAAGAAAGCGUCAAAUUGAUUAAAAGUGUGUGCAGGACGGAGCUGGGCUGUGACCUGCUCACGGAGGCUGGACCUCUGGGUGUGCCCAGGGGAGAACAGGAAAGCGGAACUCAAACACACACUUGCCAAAACUCACCUCCCAGGGAUAUAUCUUGCUCUGCCCAAGGGCCAUAGAGUCACAACCGGAAUAUCACAUGUGCAGGUGAGCCUGGGUUAAACGCAUUCUCAUAUAGAGCCUCCAGUGUGCCAAGCGCAAUGUGACCACACCUAUUUGGUUACACACAGCCAUGUACAGGCAAAGAACGAACGGCAUGGCGCCUCCCACCAAAGCCUGCCAGCGACUGUCUGGGUACCUCACACACGCUCACGUGACGCAGGUGCCUUGGUCACCUUGGAAUAAUAGUCCAUGCUCAAAAAACAUCACAAUCUCAUUCCAUAGCAUCCCUUCUGUGAAGGUGAUUCGGUUUCUCAGAUGUGUAUCUUCUCACCACUGUGGUGGAGAAGGUAAGAGAAACAUUUCCUUCCAGAACAGGCUGGUUGGAAAGAAGACCUUUGACCUGAGUACUAAGUCUGGCUGCAGUUCCACAUCUACAGAAGGACUUAGCUCUACACUGUUCACCUAGCCGUGUCCCAGAAAUCUUAGAAGGAAUUUUAUUUCUUUUCCUGUUUUCAGACACAGUGAAUAGCCCUGACAGUUCUCGAAUUCCCUAUACAACAGAAGAUUGUCUUCAUUUCCUGAGCCUCCCCGUCUCCACCUCUCAAGAGUUGAGAUUUCAGACCUACACCACCGUGACCAGUUUAUGUGGGCUAAGGAUUGAACACAGGGUCUUGAACACGAUAGGCAAGCACUCUGUUAAUUGGAGUACAUUCCCAGUCCCUGAGGACCUUCAGAGGGGCCACCCGCAGCAGCCACUUCCUCCGCUUCCCACUGCCUUAUCCUGUCCUGUGUUUAUUUUCGACCACCUGUUUGCAUAAUGGACAACCUCACAGUGUGUGGCUGAACCAGGCUUGCUCAAGCUCUGGGUUGUAGUCUUGGGAAUUUGACAGCCGAGCACUCCAUGGAUCUCAGAGAGAAGCAGAGAGAAGGGAGGGGGUGUGAAGCCAGUGUCCUAACAGAAGAGGCCGCUUCCUGUACUUGAGAUGUCCCUUGUUGCUCCCAGGCACAGUACAGAAACCAUCGAGCAUGGCAAUCCAUUCGAUUCACAAAGCUCUGGACUCCAGUGCUAAAAUCACACCCUGCAACACACCCCAUAGGCCAUAUUUGUUACAGUGACAUCUGCAUAUCACACCACACCAUACCACACAGACACAGACACCGCAUGCGCGCGCGCGCACACACACACACACACACACACACACACACACACACACACACACCUGAUAGUAAAACCACCAUCGUUUCCACUCUCCUAGGGAAAUCUCAGAAAGGCUACUUUGCCUGUGGAUUUUCCCUUUCCCCAGUGUCUCUCCGAGAAAGCAACUUUUUGUCUGUCCUUUCUGGUGUGUCAGUGUCCGGGUACAUAUUGGACAACUGGGCACUGAGUUCUAGCCACACACCUCAACUAGGUGGGAGAACAAGACACCUUGGGAAGGUGGAUUGGCACCCUCUUUCCUGAUCCCUCUUGGUCAAGGCUCUUCUGGCUCAGUCCCAGGCCCAUCUCGGACCCAGGCUUGCCUGAUGCUGCAUACCUGUAGAUUUUAGAGUCUAGAACUUGCUCAGAGCCAUUUAAAAACCCGAAAAUUUGACAUAGACCGAGGAGAGGACACUCUUUGCCUCAUAAGGUUUAGUACGUUUGCUAAAAAUUCUCCCUUCACCUUUCAUAAAAGUGUGGCACCAAAUGGCUAAUGUGUGGCCCGAAGUGCACGUCAGGGUGGACUUCCUAGUCAAGGCUGCCAUCUUGGGAGAAAAACUCAGGCUUUGCCAGUAAUGGGGGUAGGGGAGGGGUGGGGCCGCCUGAGUGGCAAGAGUGUGCAGUGGUUUGUGGUACUUAUGUAUUUCAGGUGAGUGUGGCCACCCACCUAGGCAGAUUUCUUCACCUCCCAGGCCAGGCAACCAGCCUUUCUAUCUUCUAAAGUGGUAUGUCUAGAGAAAUGGCUUAGUGGAGAGUCAUAAACUCUAAAACCAAAUAGAAUUAAAUAGGAACUAUUCCUUUAUGUGACUUAAAAUAAAUUAAGCAAAAUCAAUUAUUACAAUCUACAAAGCCUGGGGGGGGGGGAGGGGCGGAGGGGCGGGGGGCGGAGGGGGGGGUAAGGGAAAGAAUUGCCCCACCUCCUCAGUGCGGAGCCCAACUGCAGCGACCAACCGACCGGGCUCCCGGGUUUGCAUGACAAAAACACUCGACAAACAACAACAAAUUGCCAGCUUGUCGGGGGGCCUCAGGGCACUCGCGACAACUGGCGCGUUCCUCCGGGCAGCGCUGGGCUCUCUGCCCGCAGGAGGGACUGGCGGCAGAUGCUUCUCGCAGGCAGGGCAGGGGGAGGGGGAGGCCUUCACAUCAAGUGAGCGAAGACUGUGGCUGGGGUAUGUGAAGUGGGAUGCUGACUUGCGGCCCGCCACUGCCCCGCUGAUGGACUGGCCUGUGGGUGACCCUGCAGGAACCAUGGGCUUCCAUCUCCCUAGGAGGUCUAGACUGUCCCUGGCCUAACUACCACUCCAGGUGACCGGGCCCCACCUGCCCAUGCCGCCAGCCUCUAAGGCUUGGCUGGGAGCAAAGAGCGCCGGGCUUUUACCCUUGGCUUCCCCAAUAUGAGGCCUGGGCAGAUGGCUGGCCAGAGCUAAAUUGAUUCAUAAUGAUUUGUGUCUCUUCCCUGCCCGGCAAAGGGUAACUUUGCAUUAGAGACACAGAUGUCUUAAUAAGGAGGUGCCAGGCCCUCCCACUGCAGGCAGCCUUAGUACCCUCCAUCCACCGCAGACAGAUGUAGGGUGGGGCAUAGAACUGGGAGGCUUGGCUCCAUCCGCAAAAGUUGGCUUUUCACUUCCCCCAAGGCAGCUGUGGCCACCUAAUCGGAACAGUUUAGGCACACCCAGAACACUGACUUUUUAGUAAGCUUGCCGAGACGGUCCUCCCCCCUCCCCCACCCCAUUCACAGCUUCCUGUCCCAGGAUCAGUCUUCAACCUAUGCCUCCCAGACCCAACUCCACCCGCCCCGUUGCUAGCCACCAUGACAGAAAAACAACCAACCAACGGAACAAAGAAACAAAAUUGCAAAAUGGCUCUUCAGCACCACGACAGAGGUAUCCCUGCUCACUGCAGUGGAACUGUCCACAGGCUGGGUCCCAUUCCCUAUUUAAAGUUCACUUUUUUUUUUUUUUGGUGGUAAAGGCUGUGUCCCAUUUCAAGUCCUACUUGGCACCGGAGGUCCUGGAUGGAGUUGUUUUAUGUCACUCCCCACACUCUCCUUAUGCAGCAGUCUCUCUUCACCUUUCUCCAUCUGUGCCCACACCUUCACGUCCUAGGUACUCACUAGAGGUGUGCAGAGCCAGUUCAUAAACGCCCUAGUGCCAUCUACUAGUUACCUGCCAUUCUGAGGUCAGGGGUACUUUUGCAGGCUCCCCUUGUAAACAGUUUGUCCUUGUGAGGGGGUCCGUACUGUCACUGUGGUGUUCCUCUGUCUGAGGGAACAGCUCCUUCAAUAUGAAGGGGUACUAAAGGCCAAUUCAACUGAGCUCUAGCUUUGAGAGGCCCAGCCAUGUUCGCCAGAGUUUGAGGACUGCAAAAUGGCACAAAUUAGGACCAGAUGAGUUCUGAUGCCACCCCCUUGGCCUCAUGAGGAGAAGGGAGGCUGCCAUGAGGUACUCUGCCUUCAGAGGUCUCAGGAAUGCAGUGUUAGCUGUGAUCUCCCCAGCCUGUGAUCCUGGUUCCCUUCAGUUGACCUUGCUCAUCUUCCCCGCUGCAGUCCCUACCCCAAUGCUUCCUUCCUGGACACCCACCACUGUUGCCUUCUUGUUCAGCGUUUCUAACAUUGAUUAGCUUAGUUUGGUCUGUCUAUCUUUUUAUUUUUUAUUUUUCGAGACAGGGUUUCUCUGUGUAGCCCUGGCUGUCCUGAAACUCACUUUGUAGACCAGGCUGACCUCAAACUCAGAAAUCUUCCUGACUCUGCCUCCUGAUUGCUUGGACUAAAGGCGUGUGCCACCACUGCCUGGCUAUCGUUUGUCUAUCUUAAACCAUCUUGUGGCUGGACCCCGGAUUGUCUGCAUGGGUGCUUUUGUUUGUUUGCUUUUUGCUUUUCUAGCCACAAGUAUAAGUCGGCUGUGCCUUUGACUUUUGACACAUCCCUUGAAAUCCCUCAGAGACACAUUUGCCUGACCUUGUGGGAUGUCAGGUCUGAGGUUCUUCUGUAAAUCUAGUCCUCCCAUGCAGCCACACAGCAUCCUGAUACCUGUCUUCAAACCCCCAGGUACAGCCCCUACUGCGACCUGCCAGCCCGUGUCAGAGCAGCAUGUGCCACAAGGCUCGAAGAAUAUGCUGUUACAGUCAAGCCGGGAGCUCCACGUUCUUGUCCUAGCUCUGCUGCCCUUUUCCCAUCUGUACAUUUUUGGCGAUUGAAAGCACGCCUCAAGAUGGUGGCUCUGAAUAGGCUGUUCGGAGACUGAAAGCCAGACCAACAGGAACAAGUGAAAGAUCAGGCUGAUGGUAGCUAUCACAAGGGUAAGGAGCCUGCGUGCUUCACUGUGUGCUUUCUGCUCUGAGCUUAGCACGUAGUAGGUGUUCAAUAAAAGUGGGUUAUAUGAAUGCAGCUACUCUGCCCUGUCAGCGUCUAGGGAGCAGACAGCAUGAAAGAAGUAGGAGAAUGGCCAGAGCUCAAGUCAUCCUGACUGAGUGCUUGGAGUCAUUCUGAGGCAAGAAAUUUGUUUUUUUCUCAGCACACACCUAAGGCUUAUGGACAGCAUGUCUAAGCCAAGUAUAUCCCUCACAGAUAGUCUUUGAGAGCAAGCCAAGAACCCAUCCACUCCACCUCCCUAGGCAUCUCCCAGGCAAGCAUGCUCCACUCAUGUCUUUUGUUUUUCUUAAUGAAAGCAGCAAGAGCCAGGCUUGCGUCUGAAGGUGCAGCCUUGAGUAUGGAUGUCUUCAUUUUGGCUGAGCCACUGGUGUGUCAGCCUAUGCUGGCAGCUGCACUGGGGGGCUUUGUGGGGCACAUGAAGGAGGUGAGUGUGGGAGCCUCCAAAGUCACAGCUUACGUACCUCCCCCUCCAUCACCCCAGUACGCGUACCUUCCCCUCUCAAAAGAUAAAACACCUUGUGCUCUCUUCUGUGGGGACACUUAGCCAUUGUUUCAUGCUUCUUGAAUGGAUCUGCCUGUAAUAUUAGUGUGUAUGUACUCACAUACGUGUGGUUGCACAUAUGUACAUGCAUGGUGUGUGUGUGUGUGUGUGUGUGUGUGUGCGUGCACUCGAGCGCGCACGUGCACAGACACACAUGUAGGCCAGAGAUAAACCUCAGGUGUUACUCUUCAGGAACUGUCUAUCUUGAUUUUAUAUUGUAUUUUAUUAUUUAUUAUUCUGGAGGGAGGUCCAGCUCCCUUGUUUUUUUUUUGACACAGGACCUUGCACUGCAACCUGGAGCUGGCUGAUUAGGCCAGGCUGGCUGGUUUUGCCUCCCUGGUCCAAGAAUUACAAAUUCAUGCCGCUGUGCCUGACUUUUGUUGUGGGUGCUGAGAUAGAACACACGUUUUUAUGGUGUUUACAGCAAACGUUUUCAUGAUGAGCUAUCUCCCCAGCCCCUGACUGUGACAUUUUGAAGUCUCUGCAGUGCCAGCAACCCCCAAGCCCUCAUGUCCUCACUUACUGAGCCUUGGGUGUAUUUGUAUGUAGGUGCAUCUCAUUGGUGGAGGGAGAUUUGCAUGGCCUUACAUAAGCCUAAGUUUUGUGCUAGAUAGGACUGUGGUCCCUGCUGAGAGUGUCCACUCUCAACUUCAGCUGGCAGAGGCAGGGAUCGCUGGGAGGCCACCUGCUAUAGUCUAUAGGCUUUGACUUUUCUGUGACUAUCACAAGGAUUGUGUAGCACUACAACCACAUACUAGGCAGCCCUUGGAGAGUCCAUGGUAGGAAAUCUGGACAGGUGGGGCUUCCUUGAUAGCUGCCCAAGUAUGCAUCUCUGAAGUAGGCCCAGGGUAGCCCAACACUCUGUAGAUAACAUUGGCUAUACUAGGACUCUGUGGAAUAGUGACCUGGGCUUUUGUAUCGGGGAAGAAGUCCGGUUGUAGGUGAGGAAGAGCUGAGCUGGGGGCUGGAUCUAGGUUUGGCCUCGGAGCCCAGCAUUUGCCAGGAAUCCUGUUCUUAGAUCUGGGGACUCCUCAGGCAUGGUUUAUUUCCUUGUUCUUCUCAGACUUGCUAACUGGAUGGGCUCCUCUUCUUUGUUUCACCUCUCGUGCUCCUGGGGCAGGCAGUGGUGGCUGUAAGGGCUGUAAACAGGCCCCUGGCUCUCUAGUGGGAAAGGCAAAUGAGUCAAAGAAGGCAAACAUGCAAUGUGGGCUAUAGGAGCUGUCCCCAACUGCGUCGGUGGAGAGGGAGUCAGUCGGGAGAACUUCUACAUCCAGUGAGGGACCACCGUGUCUCCUUCCCUUUUAAAUAGUCCAGGCUAUAUUGCUUCCUCUUCUAAACUUCUGGAGUUUGGAAGUCAUAAUUGAGAGCAGCCUCUAGAGUAAGGGACAAAGGGCACAGAUGAGAGUGAAAGUCUCAAGCUGGGUGGGUGGUUGCCUGUCGCUGCCCCCCUCCACCCCCAGGCCUACUUGAAGACCCUAGGGGCCAGGGAGGAGGGUAAGUUGGAGGGAGCCUGCCACAGCUUUGUGACUCAAAAGGGUGUCCUUUGGGGAGCCUGUGGUUUGUCUGGAACCCACCAGAGUCAGGUAUGACAAGGUGUUUAUGUGUGUGUGCGUGCGUGUGUGUGUGUGUGUGUGUGUGUGUGUGUGUGUGUAUGUGUGUGUGUGUGUGAGAGUAACUUGUGCAGGGGGGUUCCUUCUCUCCAAAGUCAUAGUCAUAAACAGAUCUGUCUCACUGUCACAGGGUGAUAGCCUGUAAAGGGGAGGUUGGCACAGCCUGAGGUGGUAAAAAUGAUUGACAGGCACCAUGAAGGGUCAUUGGGUCCCAAGAUGAAAAAAAAAUCACAGAAGGUUUUCAGUUUGUUUUUUUGUUGCUGUUACUUUGUGGAUUUUUUUCCCAAUAAGAAAUACUUGCUGGGGAUGGGUGGGACAGUUCCGUGGACAAAGAAUGUGCUGGCCUCUUCUUUCCUGAAUCAAACAACUGACAGAUUCCUCAACAUCAAUCCACUGAAUCGGACUUUCAGGUUCUCAGCCUACCCUGUCCACUAGAUUCAUAAAGGCUUCUUGAGUCUAGGAUCCCAGGCCUGGAAUGGCUGUGGGUCACUGGAAUUUCUGUCUUUUUUUUUUUUUUUUUUUUUAAAGCAUUUGACUGUUCUAAGCAGACAAUAUUCUUUUUCAGUGGGCUUGAGACCCAGAGCUCAUUUAAAGGGCCACAAAGUAAUUCUCUGGCCUUCUUAAGAACACUGCUGGAUGCAUGCACUCAACCUCCUGCCCCACAGGCUCUCUGUCUUUGUCUCUGUGUGCGUCUGUCUGUCUCUCUCUGUCUCUUUCUGUCUCUGUGUCUGUCUCUCUCUGUCUCAGUAUACCUGUCUCUGUCUCUCUCUGUGUCUCUGUCUCUGUCUCUCUCUCUCUCUCACACACACACACACACACAUCAAACAAACAAACAAAUUCUUACUACCAAGACAUUGUUUUUACUAAUAGACUAGACAACAGUCAGUAUAGAAGGCCUCAAAUAACAGAAAUACCAGACGCCUGAAACAAAUCUUUGAGUCCAAGAUCAAUUUACAACAUAGGGGCACAUCUGUCCCACAGGACCUUGUUAAGGACUUGGUGGCAGGUAGUCAGGGCGACCGUACCUACAGGUGGCAGUGUUGUGUGUUUCUGCCUUGGGAUGACCCUUGCCAUCCAGCCAGCUAUGUGAACUUGAGCAAGCCAGUUCAGCUAUUUUGGCAACAAUGUCCCCAAACACACUUUACAGUUUCCCUUGUUCCAUAUACUCUGCCUUUUUUUUUUUUUUUUUUUUUUUUUUUUUUUGUGACGAUAAGCCUUACUGGAUCAGGCUAAACUGGGAGAGUGGAUCUCCAGGGAAUAGCUUGUACCAAAGGCACACUGGUAAGGUGUUUAAUGUUAGUCUCAAAUGGUGGUCCAUGUGGCCCUCAGGUGGAAUUUCAUGCACAAGAGUAACAUUUAUAAUUGACAGCUGCAGUUAGUUGACUCCAAAUAAAGGCAAUCUUUGUAUAUUAUGCAGGGGGAACUUAUCUAAUCCUCUGAAAGACUUGGAACACAAAAGUGAGUUUUCCCUUAGGAAGAGGAAAUGAUGCCUCAAGACAACUAUGGCAUGAGUAUGAGACUAAUAUUUUCUGGGUUGGUGGACUGUCCCAAAGAAGUCAGGGAUGUCAGUCAACAUUAGGGUACUCUUUGAAACCAAUCAGUUCAUCUAUCAUCUAUCUCUUCUCUCUGUGUGUCACAGUUUUAGUAAACUUGACACAAACCUAGACAUACCUCGGUGGGGGUGGGGUGGGGGAGGGGACAUCGGCUAAGGAGUCGCAGCCAUUGGAUUUGCUUGUGGACUUGUCUGUGGAACAUGUUCUUGGUUGCUUAUUGAUGUGGGCAGGGUCAUCCCUGAACAAGUGGGCCCAGGCUGCGUGGGAAGGGUAGGUGACUGAACAAACUAGAGAAAGCAGGACAGCAUGCAGCACUCCUCCAUGGUCUUUGCCUCCAGGUUUUUGCCUUGAACUAUUGCCCUGACUCCCCUGAAUAAUGACUAUAGGCUCUAAAACGAAAUAAAUUCUUUUUUCCCCCGCAAGUUGUGUUAGCUUAUGGUAUUUUCUUAUGGCAUCAGGAAAGGAAAGUUGGACUCUGUCUGUCUGUCUGUCUUCUGUCUGCUUGUCUGCCUGUCUAUUAUCUGUCACCUCUCUAUCUUCUUUUUCUUUCUCUGAGAACCCUGACGGAUAUACCUUGGCUUAAGAACAUCUCCAGAGAAACGUAUUUGCUGCUUUGUGUUUUUCCAGGAAAUACUACAUAGAAACAAAUCAGCCUGCUGUCUUUCAGAAAAGGAGAAGGAUCAUUUUAGGAGUAUUUACUAAGGUACUUGAAACAUGGACUCUGUAUGGAAACAUCCCAGCUCCAGUUGUUUAAAUCAGCUUCAUGUUCUCGGCCCACCUUGUUGGCAAGAUUCAAAAGGGCUUCUCAGAUCCCAGGACCCAGGCCUGGAAUGGCUGCAGUUCACUGGAAUCUCUCUAUUUUUUGAAAUAUUUGAGUGGUGCCUAUUUGACUGUUCUGAGCAGAUGAUGUUCUUUGUUUAUGAGAGAAAUUAGGCCAAAUCCAACUUUUCCACAGAUGGAGAAGCCUGAAUUAUUUAUCAGAGGCUCAUGAAUUUGGUUCUGGCAAAUGGCAGGGCCGAGGGCGGCUGAUUUGUGUUCUACAGUUGGAACAGCUUGGUCUCAGUGGGUCCUGGGCCUUUCUGACACAGCACUGGGCCUGGCAGGGGCACUGUAGCCCCUUGGCUUUCUUCACAGAACUCUACUGGUUCUGGAAUGUGUGCAGCCAGGCUUGGUAAGGUCUUGCUUGGACACUGGGAUGUCUGGGUUUUUCUGAACCCCUGCUGGACUGUGGGCUGCCUUGGGGGAUGGUGCUGCUUUGUUCAGAAAAGAUACCCCCUCCCCCCUGCUGGACUGUGGGCUUGCUAUGCUCGCCCUUGCUGGGUUUUCUGCACCUGCCUUCUCUCUGGUAGCCAUCUUUGUUUUCAGGGGAGCCUCAGCAAUGGGUGAAUUCUCUCAGUGACUAAUGAGGGAAGCCCUGUCCUGUCCUCUUGAUCAGCACUGGUAUCAUAGAAGAGAGUGUGAGCUCUCUGGGCAGGGGAGGGACUUGGAAAGGGGUCUCACACAUUUGAGUACUAGCAUUAACUCCUGGUAAAGGUGUGGGGGUCUUAGGCUGCCCCUUAUUUCUGUAUUUUGUCCUUAGAACAACCAGAGGAGUCAGUCCUUCAGAUACAAGAACAUUCAGGAGUUUAUUUGGUAGUUUCUAGCUAGGGAGUCACAGUUCCCAGUCCAGGCAGUGUCUAUCAUUCAAUGGGGGCAAGAUGUGGGAGUCUCCAGGUUCAGUGAGGGCCCAGAAAGCCUUAUACCCUUCAACAUAGUCUGGUGUUUGAGUGAGGAGAAAGAGGAAGCAACACUGCUUUCUGCCCGUCUCAACUGCUUCUUUAGAGAUUCUAGCAGGGGAGGGUAGCUACUCCCAUACCUGUGACCAGACAAUGGUCUUCCUGUAUCAAGGAAGGCCGUCAUCUUUGACAGAGCAUGCAGCUCUGGGAGGGAUGUAUGUGGAGCAAAUUGAGAGGAAGGGAACACAUGACGAGCCAGCUAGAUCAGCCUAAUCAACCCUGGAGACUCCCGGGACGACAGAUGUCACAGUCACACUCCUCUCAGAUUUAGCCUGUCCACCUCUAGUACUCACCUACUCUGUGGCUGUGAGAAAACCCUUGACAAAAGCAACUUAAGAGAGGAGUAGGGGUUUGCCCUGGCCCAGGGCUUCAGAUGGUACAGCCCAGCAUCGUGGGGAAGGCAUGACAGAAUUCAUGGUGGCAGAAUUCCUUUUCUCCCUUUUUUGUCCAAGGCUCUAGCCCAUGGCAUGAUGACAUUCACAUUCAGGGUGUGCCAUCCCUUACCAGUUAACCUUCUCUGGAAACAUCCCCAUACUCCCAGCCAGAUGUGUGUCUCCUAGGUGACUCUAGACUGAGUGAAGUUGACAUCAUGUUGCCCAACAUGUGCAGAUUGGGUUUCUCAUCUUCCUGAGGCUGUUUCUCAUUCUAAAAAGGAGAUAGAGACCUAGUGUUUCCAGCCUUGACUUGGCAUGACCUGGACUACAGUGCUCAGACCUGUUUCUUCUGCCGCCGCCGAGGCUGUGGAACAAACGAUCAGGAGGGAACGAGCAAGGAGGCUGCUGAGCUCAAACUGAAUUACAGAGACAAGGAGUAAAGAAAAGCCAUCCCUGCCUGUCAUUGGAGGACAGGAAGAAGUUAGAGGCUUGACGACGCUCAUCUCACUGGUCCUCAGGAGCUAUCUCCAUGUUGUCACCCCAUCUUAAUGUGGAUUUGGACUGUGGAACUGUGGGAAGGAGGGGACACAUGCCACAGAGCAGAAACACUGCUUUAAAGAAAAAAAAAAAAAAA